rnacentral:rRNA from 1 species
AACGAACGCUGGCGGCAGGCCUAACACAUGCAAGUCGAGCGGGCGUAGCAAUACGUCAGCGGCGGACGGGUGAGUAACACGUGGGAAUAUGCCUUUCGGUUUGGAACAACUCGGGGAAACCCGUGCUAAUUCCGGAUACGCCCUUAGGGGGAAAGAUUUAUCGCCGAAAGAUUAGCCCGCGUCCGAUUAGCUAGUUGGUGAGGUAACGGCCCACCAAGGCGACGAUCGGUAGCUGGUUUGAGAGAACGACCAGCCACACUGGGACUGAGACACGGCCCAGACUCCUACGGGAGGCAGCAGUGGGGAAUCUUGGACAAUGGAGGAAACUCUGAUCCAGCCAUGCCGCGUGAGUGAUGAAGGCCUUCGGUUGUAAACU